AGGCUACAGCACGUGAUAGUAUAGUUGCUCUGAUAUUAAUAUGUGAAUCCCAGUUGAUUCUUCAGGUCUUCCUUAAAUCUUGCCUGGAUUAUGAAUGUUGGGACUUCCCUGGUGACGCAGUGGUUAAGAAUCCUCCUGCCAGUGCAGGGAACACAGGUUCCAGCCCUGGUCCAGGAAAAUCCCACAUGCUGUGGAGCAACUAAGCCCAUGCACCACAACUACUGAGCCUGCGCUCUACAGCCCGUGAGCUACAACUGCUGAGCCCGUGUGCCACAACUACUGAAACCAGCGCACCUAGAGCCUGUGCUCCACAACAAGAGAAGCCACUGCAAUGAGGAGCCCACACACUGCAACGAAGAGUAGCCCCUGCUCACCACACCUAGAGAAAGCCCGUGCGCAGCAAUGAAGACCCAACGCAGCCAUAAAUGAAUAAAUAAAUAAUAAUAAUAAUAAAAAGAAAAAUUUACAGGUUAAGUGGAUAUUCAAUUGUAAUAGGCUUUUAUAAUGCUUUCAAAUGAUUUAACAUGCUGGGAUAAUGAUCUCAGUUCAGAAACUGACUCUAGGAAAUAAUAACAUGGUAACAUGCUAUUCACUUCCUUAUUGAUUAUAGAAAUUACAGUCCAACCAGCAGUCAUUAAUCCUGCAGAAUGUAAGAGCAGUGCAAGUUAAUUUUUUAAGUAAACUUUUUAUUGAAGUAUAACAUGCAUAGAGGAGACUGCAAAAAUCAUAAAUGUACAACUUGAUGAAUUUUCACAAAAUCAGCAAACCCAUGUAAACAGUACCCAGAUAGGAAUAUAAUAUUACUAGAGGUCUAAGAGGUCUGCCUUGUGCCCCCUCCCAACCAUUACACCCAACUCUGACUUCUG